AAGACUAUAGACCUGCGGAGUACCUGCGGAGGGAUCAUUACAGAGUUGCAAAACUCCCAAACCAUCGUGAACGUUACCUACAUCGUUGCUUCGGCGGGUGGCGGGCUUCGGCCCUGCCCUCGGCCCCUCUCGGGGGCCCGCCGGAGGUACACCAAACUCUUGAAUUUACAUGGCCUCUCUGAGUCUUCUGUACUGAAUAAGUCAAAACUUUCAACAACGGAUCUCUAGAUCGGAAGAGCA
rnacentral:misc_RNA from 1 species